GAUGAACGCUGGCGGCGUGCCUAAUACAUGCAAGUCGAGCGAACAGACGAGGAGCUUGCUCCUCUGACGUUAGCGGCGGACGGGUGAGUAACACGUGGAUAACCUACCUAUAAGACUGGGAUAACUUCGGGAAACCGGAGCUAAUACCGGAUAAUAUAUUGAACCGCAUGGUUCAAUAGUGAAAGACGGUUUUGCUGUCACUUAUAGAUGGAUCCGCGCCGCAUUAGCUAGUUGGUAAGGUAACGGCUUACCAAGGCGACGAUGCGUAGCCGACCUGAGAGGGUGAUCGGCCACACGGGAACGGAGACACGGUCCAGACGCCUACGGGAGGCAGCAGUAGGGAAUCUUCCGCAAUGGGCGAAAGCCUGACGGAGCAACGCCGCGUGAGUGAUGAAGGUCUUCGGAUCGUAAAACUCUGUUAUUAGGGAAGAACAAAUGUGUAAGUAACUAUGCACGUCUUGACGGUACCUAAUCAGAAAGCCACGGCUAACUACGUG
rnacentral:rRNA from 1 species